AUUGAACGCUGGCGGCAGGCUUAACACAUGCAAGUCGAGCGAGCGGCGGACGGGUGAGUAAUGUCUGGGAAACUGCCUGAUGGAGGGGGAUAACUACUGGAAACGGUAGCUAAUACCGCAUACCAUCAGAUGUGCCCAGAUGGGAUUAGCUAGUAGGUGGGGUAAUGGCUCACCUAGGCGACGAUCCCUAGCUGGUCUGAGAGGAUGACCAGCCACACUGGAACUGAGACACGGUCCAGACUCCUACGGGAGGCAGCAGUAGGGAAUAUUGCACAAUGGGCGCAAGCCUGAUGGAGCAAUGCCGCGUGUGUGAAGAAGGCUUUCGGAUUGUAAAGCACUUUCAUCGAGGAGGCGUUACUCAAAGAGGAAGCCCCGGCUAACUCCGUGCCAGCAGCCGCGGUAAUAC
rnacentral:rRNA from 1 species